GAGAAGUCAGGCCAGAUUAAGCCAUAGUACGGAAAGAGCUAUGCUGCCUGUGAGCCACAGCCAUUGUCAGAAAA
rnacentral:lncRNA from 1 species